AAACUUAUAGUUUAUAAAAACAUUAAAUUGCAAAUUUAAAAAUAUUAUUAUUAAUUUAGUUUU
rnacentral:tRNA from 1 species